rnacentral:lncRNA from 1 species
AAAAAACAGAGGGCAGGAGACGGGCAGAGAAGAAAAGAAAGCAGGAGAAAAGAGAAAUAAAAGAGAAAAAGAAGAAAAGAAGAUAUAAAAGAGGAAGGUUUUGCUAUUCAAACUUCAUUAUUCAAUUUCUCUAAUUUUUUCAAAAGAUAUAGCAUAAUUUAUUCCUAAAUUUUUAGGCUUUUGAUUUGUUGGUGUAAAUUUUAGAUUAAGAGAAAUAAGUUCCAUUGUUGUUUGAAGUUUCUUGACUAGUUACUUUCCAUUUAUAUUAAAGCAAGAAAUACCAUUUUUGGACAAUCCCUAGAAUUUUUAUUUGGGAUUCUUGAUUAAGUAUUGUUAGUGGAAAUGAUUGUGGUGAUGAAAUAGUCAAAUGAAACAUGAGUUUAUGGUGCAAAAUGAAAGUUAAGUUGGUUGAGUUGUUUGUGUUAGUUUUCACUAGAUCGAAUGAUAAUCAUUUUUAUGUUUGAGAUGAAGGUUAUUUUGAUGAAUUAGUUAUUAGUAAAAGGGACUAGAAAGUGGAAUUAGCUCCAAUUGGUUAAAGAAAAAUUUGAGAAGUUUAUUCAAGUAUUGAGAAAUCUAGUUUAAGUAUUAUGGCAUUAGAUAUUAAAAGUUUCUUGAUUUGGUAGUGGUUAAAUUAGUUAUCUUGUAUCGUAUUUCAGAUGGAACAAGGAAAUUGGAAAAGCUUAUCGGCCUUCAUAGCUUGUAGCUUAACUUGUGAGUGGAUAAAAAUUUAUUUUUCAAAAAUUAAUACUUAAUAAAUUUAUAUUAAAUCAGAAAAUUAAUUAUUUUGUACAUUUGGUUUGACAACAUAAUUUCUAAAAUAAAGUGGAUUUUAUAGUCAGUUCUUUUUUUUAAAGUUAAAUUCAGUUCAAUUAAAUCAUUUCAUUAGCAUGUUAUAUCGGUAUUAAAUAUUCAAUAUAUCUAAAGUUAUUUUUAAAACCACCAUAAAGUACCCAGGUAAUUUUACCAUUGUAUUCACUUGUGUGAAUGUGUUUCAAUAGUGUAUGACCCCAUAUGUUAUUUACCCAUUUUACACUGGUGUGAAUGUGUUUCCAUAGUGUAUGAUUAAUUAUGGUAAUUUUACCCGUUCUACACUAUUGUGAAUAUGUUUUCAUAGUGUAGGAUCAUGUUAUAGCCUUUGGGCAGCUCCACGCGCGCAUAACCAUAAUUUCAGAACUACAGAAAUACAGAAAUUCAAUUUCAAAAUUACAGAAUUUCAGAAUUAAAUAACUUUAUCGUGUACAUCGAGAUUAAUCGAUGCAUGAAUAUGAUUAUUUUGAGUACUUUUUGGUGUAUUUUCAAUAAUAUAUAUAGCUCAUUAGAUUUCACAUUAUAGAAUUUAAUUUAUUCGGUCUAAAGAAUUUAAAUUUCAGUUUAUAGUACUGUGAAAUGAUAUUUUACUCAUAGUAUGUAUGUCAUAUUUAUUAUAUCCGUUAUAUUUUAUAGUUGUUCAUUCAAAAAAAAAAAAAAAGAAUAAAGAGUUUUAUGAUUCCAUUAUGCUUUAAUUUUAAAAGUAUUACUAGAUUUCAGACUUUCUUAAAAUUGUAAUAGCAAAAGUGCUUCUAGAAAGUUUACAUAAAUGGAAAAGUAAAUUUAUUUGCGAAACAUCCACUCACUGAGUUACAAACUCAUAUAUGUUAUCACCCUUUUUCUUAUCAGAUAGUAGCUGAGUUGAGUAGCAUUGAAGCCAGUUGAUCUACUAAGUUGAGCUACAAAUUUUCAUCAAUUGUAUUACUUAUUUUGUCAGUUUAUAUGCUUCAUAUUUUUGGGACACAUGCAAUUUUGAUAGAAAAUAUAUCCAUAUCAUGGGCUCAUUGCAUAUUUAGUAAAUUUUGAAUAUGUUGAAAUUUUAGAGACUUUUAACUUGUUAAAAAGUGUAAAUUUCAUUCAUGUGCACUUUAUUUCGAAUGGUUUCUAUUUGAAAGGGCAGGUACACCCUAUUUUAAAUUACAUGUAUAUGUUCCGAAAAUUUUAUGAUAUUUCAAGUGGUUUUAAUCCAUAUUUCAGAAGAAAUCCUGUCAAAUUUUUUACAAAAACAUGUCACAAUCAAAGUUGCUUUGGUGGUGGAUUCAACAUUAGCUAGUUUCUACAAUUGGGG